GGGGCCGUCGUCCAGCUGGAAGGAUGCCGGUUUGGGGUGCCGGUGGUCCCGGGUUCAAAUCCCGGCGGCCCCA
rnacentral:tRNA from 2 species